rnacentral:rRNA from 1 species
GGUUAAGCGACUAAGCGUACACGGUGGAUGCCCUGGCAGUCAGAGGCGAUGAAGGGCGUGCUAAUCUGCGAUAAGCGCCGGUAAGGUGAUAUGAACCGUUAUAACCGGCGAUACCCGAAUGGGGAAACCCAGUGUGACUCGUCACACUAUCAUUAACUGAAUCCAUAGGUUAAUGAGGCGAACCGGGGGAACUGAAACAUCUAAGUACCCCGAGGAAAAGAAAUCAACCGAGAUUCCCCCAGUAGCGGCGAGCGAACGGGGAGGAGCCCAGAGCCUGAAUCAGCAUGUGUGUUAGUGGAAGCGUCUGGAAAGGCGCGCGAUACAGGGUGACAGCCCCGUACACAAAAGCGCAUGUGCUGUGAGCUCGAUGAGUAGGGCGGGACACGUGGUAUCCUGUCUGAAUAUGGGGGGACCAUCCUCCAAGGCUAAAUACUCCUGACUGACCGAUAGUGAACCAGUACCGUGAGGGAAAGGCGAAAAGAACCCCGGCGAGGGGAGUGAAAAAGAACCUGAAACCGUGUACGUACAAGCAGUGGGAGCACAGGUUUACCUGUGUGACUGCGUACCUUUUGUAUAAUGGGUCAGCGACUUAUAUUCUGUAGCAAGGUUAACCGAAUAGGGGAGCCGCAGGGAAACCGAGUCUUAAUUGGGCGUUAAGUUGCAGGGUAUAGACCCGAAACCCGGUGAUCUAGCCAUGGGCAGGUUGAAGGUUGGGUAACACUAACUGGAGGACCGAACCGACUAAUGUUGAAAAAUUAGCGGAUGACCUGUGGCUGGGGGUGAAAGGCCAAUCAAACCGGGAGAUAGCUGGUUCUCCCCGAAAGCUAUUUAGGUAGCGCCUCGUGAAUUCAUCUCCGGGGGUAGAGCACUGUUUCGGCUAGGGGGCCAUCCCGGCUUACCAACCCGAUGCAAACUGCGAAUACCGGAGAAUGUUAUCACGGGAGACACACGGCGGGUGCUAACGUCCGUCGUGAAGAGGGAAACAACCCAGACCGCCAGCUAAGGUCCCAAAGUCAUGGUUAAGUGGGAAACGAUGUGGGAAGGCCCAGACAGCCAGGAUGUUGGCUUAGAAGCAGCCAUCAUUUAAAGAAAGCGUAAUAGCUCACUGGUCGAGUCGGCCUGCGCGGAAGAUGUAACGGGGCUAAACCAUGCACCGAAGCUGCGGCAGCGACACUAUGUGUUGUUGGGUAGGGGAGCGUUCUGUAAGCCUGCGAAGGUGUCUCGUGAGGGAUGCUGGAGGUAUCAGAAGUGCGAAUGCUGACAUAAGUAACGAUAAUGCGGGUGAAAAACCCGCACGCCGGAAGACCAAGGGUUCCUGUCCAACGUUAAUCGGGGCAGGGUGAGUCGACCCCUAAGGCGAGGCCGAAAGGCGUAGUCGAUGGGAAACAGGUUAAUAUUCCUGUACUUGGUGUUACUGCGAAGGGGGGACGGAGAAGGCUAUGUUGGCCGGGCGACGGUUGUCCCGGUUUAAGCGUGUAGGUGUGUGUUCCAGGUAAAUCCGGUUCACUUUAACACUGAGGCGUGAUGACGAGGCACUACGGUGCUGAAGCAACAAAUGCCCUGCUUCCAGGAAAAGCCUCUAAGCAUCAGGUAACAUCAAAUCGUACCCCAAACCGACACAGGUGGUCAGGUAGAGAAUACCAAGGCGCUUGAGAGAACUCGGGUGAAGGAACUAGGCAAAAUGGUGCCGUAACUUCGGGAGAAGGCACGCUGACACGUAGGUGAAGUGAUUUACUCACGGAGCUGAAGUCAGUCGAAGAUACCAGCUGGCUGCAACUGUUUAUUAAAAACACAGCACUGUGCAAACACGAAAGUGGACGUAUACGGUGUGACGCCUGCCCGGUGCCGGAAGGUUAAUUGAUGGGGUCAGCGCAAGCGAAGCUCCUGAUCGAAGCCCCGGUAAACGGCGGCCGUAACUAUAACGGUCCUAAGGUAGCGAAAUUCCUUGUCGGGUAAGUUCCGACCUGCACGAAUGGCGUAAUGAUGGCCAGGCUGUCUCCACCCGAGACUCAGUGAAAUUGAACUCGCUGUGAAGAUGCAGUGUACCCGCGGCAAGACGGAAAGACCCCGUGAACCUUUACUAUAGCUUGACACUGAACAUUGAGCCUUGAUGUGUAGGAUAGGUGGGAGGCUUUGAAGUGUGGACGCCAGUCUGCAUGGAGCCGACCUUGAAAUACCACCCUUUAAUGUUUGAUGUUCUAACGUGGACCCGUAAUCCGGGUUGCGGACAGUGUCUGGUGGGUAGUUUGACUGGGGCGGUCUCCUCCUAAAGAGUAACGGAGGAGCACGAAGGUUGGCUAAUCCUGGUCGGACAUCAGGAGGUUAGUGCAAUGGCAUAAGCCAGCUUGACUGCGAGCGUGACGGCGCGAGCAGGUGCGAAAGCAGGUCAUAGUGAUCCGGUGGUUCUGAAUGGAAGGGCCAUCGCUCAACGGAUAAAAGGUACUCCGGGGAUAACAGGCUGAUACCGCCCAAGAGUUCAUAUCGACGGCGGUGUUUGGCACCUCGAUGUCGGCUCAUCACAUCCUGGGGCUGAAGUAGGUCCCAAGGGUAUGGCUGUUCGCCAUUUAAAGUGGUACGCGAGCUGGGUUUAGAACGUCGUGAGACAGUUCGGUCCCUAUCUGCCGUGGGCGCUGGAGAACUGAGGGGGGCUGCUCCUAGUACGAGAGGACCGGAGUGGACGCAUCACUGGUGUUCGGGUUGUCAUGCCAAUGGCACUGCCCGGUAGCUAAAUGCGGAAGAGAUAAGUGCUGAAAGCAUCUAAGCACGAAACUUGCCCCGAGAUGAGUUCUCCCUGAGACUUAGAGUCUCCUGAAGGAACGUUGAAGACGACGACGUUGAUAGGCCGGGUGUGUAAGCGCAGCGAUGCGUUGAGCUAACCGGUACUAAUGAACCGUGAGGCUUAACCUU